AAGUCUGAUGGAGCAACGCCGCGUGAGUGAAGAAGGUUUUCGGAUCGUAAAGCUCUGUUGUUGGUGAAGAAGGAUAGAGGUAGUAACUGGCCUUUAUUUGACGGUAAUCAACCAGAAAGUCACGGCUAACUACGUGCCAGCAGCCGCGGUAAUACGUAGGUGGCAAGCGUUGUCCGGAUUUAUUGGGCGUAAAGCGAGCGCAGGCGGAAGAAUAAGUCUGAUGUGAAAGCCCUCGGCUUAACCGAGGAACUGCAUCGGAAACUGUUUUUCUUGAGUGCAGAAGAGGAGAGUGGAACUCCAUGUGUAGCGGUGGAAU
rnacentral:rRNA from 1 species